AAAGAGUCAGAGGGCGUACCGGUCGAACGAAUUUAAAGAUACAUACAUAAAGUUAGGUCGGUCGAAAGCAGUUUCUGCUUUGACGCGAGAUCCUUUGAAGUGGUUUUCGUUGGAUCGACUCGACGGAACCGCGCAAAGAACUAGGGAGCCACGGGGGAGGAGAGAAAGGGAGAAGAAGAGCGGUGGCGGAAAGAGAGGGAACGGGGAAUGGCAGAACGAAGAGAGGAAAACGGUGGUCCCUGUCAGCAAUUGCCCCCUCUCGUAAGAAAAAAUGGCAGCUGUUGUGGCUAGAUGCCGCGUACCGAACCAUAAUGCCGUACCACCCUCCUCGCUUACUCGUCCGCACGGAGCUCGCGCGAGAGGGCAUUCGGAGCUCGAGGAGAAACGGGAGGCCGACCGUGCCGAAAGUACCAACCUGGACGGGAG
rnacentral:misc_RNA from 1 species